rnacentral:rRNA from 1 species
AGCAGCCGCGGUAAUUCCAGCUCCAAUAGCGUAUAUUAAAGUUGUUGCAGUUAAAAAGCUCGUAGUUGAAUUUCGGGAUUAGUGCGCCGGUCGUGCCUUCGGUAUGUACUGGUGUUACUGGUUCCUACCUUCUGACGAACCGUCAUGUCAUUAAUUUGGGUGUGGCGGGGAAUCAGGACUGUUACUUUGAAAAAUUAGAGUGUUUAAAGCAGGCUCGCGCUUGAAUACAUUAGCAUGGAAUAAUGAAAUAGGACGUUCGAUCCUAUUUUGUUGGUUUCUAGGAUUGACGUAAUGAUUAAUAGGGAUAGUUGGGGGCAUUAGUAUUCAAUUGUCAGAGGUGAAAUUCUUGGAUUUAUUGAAGACUAACUACUGCGAAAAGCAUUUGCCAAGGAUGUUUUCAUUAAUCAAGAACGAAAGUUAGGGGGAUCGAAGACGAUCAGAUACCGUCGUAGUCUUAACCAUAAAACUAUGCCGACUAGGGAUCGGAUGAUGUUAUUUUUUAAUGACUCAUUCGGCGCCU